rnacentral:rRNA from 1 species
CGCCAGACUCCUACGGGAGGCAGCAGUGGGGAAUAUUGGACAAUGGGGGGAACCCUGAUCCAGCGACGCCGCGUGAGUGAAGAAGUAUUUCGGUAUGUAAAGCUCUAUCAGCAGGGAAGAAAGAAAUGACGGUACCUGACUAAGAAGCCCCGGCUAACUAUGUGCCGGCAGCCGCGGUAAUACGUAGGGGGCAAGCGUUAUCCGGAUUUACUGGGUGUAAAGGGAGCGUAGACGGAAAGGCAAGUCAGAAGUGAAAGCCCAAGGCUCAACCAUGGGACUGCUUUUGAAACUGUCAAACUAGAGUACGGGAGAGGUAAGAGGAAUUCCUAGUGUAGCGGUGAAAUGCGUAGAUAUUAGGAGGAACACCAGUGGCGAAGGCGGCUUACUGGACCGAAACUGACGUUGAGGCUCGAAAGCGUGGGGAGCAAACAGGAUUAGAUACCCGCGUAU